ACCACUGACAGACAGAUAAAUUGGAAUCAGUGGGUGAAAGCUCUUAACUUUCAGAUUAAGGAAUUAAACUUUUUGAAUAAUCAAAGGGAAUCUAUGCGCAGUUGUAGGGAGGGGGCGACGUGGGGGAAAAGUUAGUUUUACAAAGUGAAGCUAACUCAGUUUAAUAAAUAGUUUUAGAAGUUUUUAGUGGUUAACAAAAGACUGCAUCCCUCUGAUGCAAGAACUGCCCAUGUUUCAUCUUGUCCGAGGUUGACCAUCCGCCUGUGCUCUCAAUGUGACUCUUCUAGCCCCUCAGAGACCACACCAGCGAGCAACAUCGCCACCUGCUGGGAGUUAGAGAAAUUACAGAAUUGGAUUAUCUUUAUUCAAAUAUUCUUGGAUUUCAGGGUUUAAAGAUGGCUGGUUAUACCUUCGCUAGUCACUAUCUGUGAGCUGAUCAAAGCUGCAAGUGCCAGUUACUGAAAUGUUGGGCCUAUUAAUGUGUUGGAAGAAGAAGCAGGAGAGCCUAUGUGACUGAGCUAAAAAUUUAACCCAUCAUAAGAAAUGGAUGAGAGUUUGUUUAACAUUCUAUCUCCAAUAUUGAUAUAUGCCUGGGACCCAAGAAUGGCCAAAAGUUUCCAGAAGUAAUGCUGACUGCACUUUAGAAUUUAAAAGUACCACUGCAGAGGCCUAAUCUCAGAGCAGUUAAAUGAGAAUCUCUAGGAUGGAGCCCAGACAAUAACAUUCUUUAAAAGUUCCUCAGAUGGAGUCUCAGUUUUAUAAGGGGGAGUUUCCCUGCACAAGCUCUCUCUCUUUGUCUGCUGCCAUUCAUGUAAAAUGUGACUUGCUCCUCCUUGCCUUCCAUCAUGAUUGUGAUGCCUCCCAGCCAUGUGGAAAUCACUCUGGCAAAGUAUACAUAAAAAUCAUGAAUCUGUGUCUCCGGGACCCAUCAGUGAAAUUCCUGGAGCACUGGCCUAAGGUGAGACAUCUCGCACAGGACCUGUGACAUAGUGCCUAUGCAAUAAAUGUCAGUUCCCUUG